UGCCAGCCGCCGCGGUAAUACGGAGAGGGCGAGCGUUAUUCGGAUUUAUUGGGCGUAAAGGGCGUGUAGGCGGCUUGGCAGGUCAAAGGUGAAAUCCCUCGGCUCAAUCGAGGAACUGCCUUUGAAACCGCCUGGCUAGAGGCCGGGAGAGGGUAGUGGAAUUCCCAGUGUAGCGGUGAAAUGCGUAGAUAUUGGGAGGAACACCAGUGGCGAAGGCGACUACCUGGACCGGUUCUGACGCUGAGAUGCGAAAGCGUGGGGAGCAAACAGGAUUAGAUA
rnacentral:rRNA from 1 species